rnacentral:tRNA from 1 species
AAUGAUAUAGUUUAUUAAAAACAUUAGGUUUGCAUCCUAAAAAUGGAUUUAUUCCUUUCGUUA